UACGUAGGGGGCGAGCGUUGUCCGGAUUUAUUGGGCGUAAAGCGUGCGUAGGCGGCUGCGCAAGUCGGGUGUGAAACCCCGGGGCUCAACCCCGGAACUGCAUCCGAUACUGCGUGGCUAGAGGUAGGUAGGGGAGAUCGGAAUUCCUGGUGUAGCGGUGAAAUGCGCAGAUAUCAGGAGGAACACCGGUGGCGAAGGCGGAUCUCUGGGCCUUACCUGACGCCCAUGCACGACAGCGUGGGGAUCAAACAGG
rnacentral:rRNA from 1 species